AGCUGUCUCUGGCUCUCCACCCUGGCGGGGAGGAUUAAGGAGCAGACUACCCCAGCCUGCUGCAGGCUUUGGGGCCACGGCCACCAAGAAAGGGUUCAGCCUUUUGGGAACAAGAAGUUGAUUGGCCCAGCCCUCCCGGUCUGGACAGAAUCUUUUAAACCAGCCCUUCGUAAGCCACCGGACACACAGAAACAUGGCCAACCAGGGCUGCCUUUCCGCCAGAGACUGCAGCCUGAGUUCCUUGAAAGCACCGAGGUGCUCUGCCUGUUCAUCUCUGCAUUCUGGCCCCUGGUGGUUCAACAACCACAAAACUUUGUAAGAUGAAUGAUUGAUUAAACGAGGGCUGAAGUUAGCUGGGAAAGCUUCACCGAAGAGAUGGAUUUACUGAAAGCCCAGGAUGGAUCAAGCCAGUCCAAGUCAGGAUAGAUGCUGGGGGAUUCCUGAGGAGUUCAGUGCUGAGGGCCAGAGCAAGCCUGCAGAUGGAUGGGCUGUCCUCAUCAAGACCACCCCAGCCUGCCACUUCCAGGAGCCCUGCUGGGCAACUGCCCCUUAGCCAGUCCUUCCAAGUUCCCGGGAACUGGACAUCCUGUCCUCCUUCGAGUGGCCCUGGCCUUCCUCAGACCUUCGGAGUCGCUCCAGAGUCAUUGAUGCCAAUGGUGGAGGCCCCUUUCUCCCCAUCAUUGAAGACCCCUUUCUUUCCUAUCAGAAAACCAAUUUUGUCACUGGUUUCAAAGAAGAUAAGCUCAAGACCUUACAGAGAUUUUCUUUGAAAACUCUCACCACCCCUGUCUGUGUGUGCACCCCCAGUGACUGCCGCUGGACUGGGGAGCAGUGGAGAGGGGGAGGGCACACUGUCUGUAGUGUUGGGGGAAAAGGUGUCCGGAAUGAACUCCACAAACGCGGGUUUUAUGGAUUCCACCCCCACCAUGACCGAAGAGAUCCAAAUCGCCAAGGACUACAAAUCCCAUAAUGCUAUGAUCACGAAAGGGAGGACCCGUACCUCCAGAGCUGUGAGAAUAAACAGCAUUUGGUAUUUUGUUGCAGCCAUCCAAGCAAACUAAUACAUGCCUCAAUAGAUAAUUAGUACAACUUCACAAGUGAUGCUAUCAACUUCAAGUUCUUCGCAUCCGAAGGUACAGAAUGCCAGGUUGUUCCACUAAUGUUCAUUACUUGGUUAAGGUGACCCCUGCCAGAUCUGAAAACAUGAAUAUUGAAAACAUUCAUUUGCCAUUUUGACAAAUAGCAAAUAACUAGUGGGACAAAACCUUAACCCCCUGGAAUAUCUUGUUCUUCAACAAGAUAUCCUCAAUGCAGUAUCAUUUGUUGGUGACCUUAGCUUGAGUCAAUUGUGUCUUUGAAUAUUGCAAAAUGAUAAUUUUUCUAAUUGUCUCUUUUCACAUCUGUUGGCUAGUAUUUUUGCAAAGAAAAGUUGUCUCUCAUCAACAGGAAUUAACUACAUUUCCUCUUUAAAAGGCAAGGUAAAUGUUGAAUUCUUUCUUUUUAAUUACUAAUUUCCUAAAUAAGGAAUUGGCUCCACAGUCACCUCCAAUGAUGGUAAAUGAGUUUCUCGCUGCCUCACAGUUCAGACAGUUAUUUAUUUAUUUGUCUGUUUCCCUGCCUCUCCAGCAGUCACCAUGGUCUGAUGGGUCUCUAUUUGUUCAGUGUUUUACAAUCAGUUGUAUCAUAUUCUUUUCCAUGCUCAGAUUGUCCCAGAUUUGGCCAAUGCUUUCAAAUUCUAGGCCUCUAAGGAAAUGUUAGAAAAGUGGGGCUUGGGGCUUGGGGUUGGGAGAGGUGCGGGGGGGGGGUCUCUCCAGAAGACCAUUCUUAGAAGUCCCUGCCAGACACCAGGGAUAUGGGGUGGAAUAGGGACGCCCCUGAAGGAAAACAACAUGAGGCAAGAUGAGGAGGGAUUUCUUGAGCAUGGGUUCUGUUUAGGGAAUGAAGUAAACUGGAAAAAUUAGAAAUUGAACGCCCAGACCCCUCAGGUCUGCCCCUAGCGGGUCUCACCAAUUUGCUCUGUGUCAAAACAAACAAACAACAAACCAGCAGCCUGCACCUCUGUGUCUUAGCAUGCAGGUCUGCCAGGGAGUCUGGAGGACAUACUCCGUGCAGGCUUGGUAAAGGCAGGAAGCACUGUCAGCGUGUAAGAUGCCACCGGUAGGGUCUGUCCCCAGAAACCAAAUAUCACCAUGAAGACAGGGAAGUGGAGAAGGAGGAGCACGUGUGUGUGUGAAGCACGUUCCUCACAGCUGAGAGUUGUGCAAAAGCCUAAGCACUACAACCUGGGAAGGACAAAAUUGGCCUGAGGAAGCACCCAGCCUUCCCCCAAGUAGGCAGGAGACGAUACAUUCAGGUUCUCUGACCAUGCCAGCUCUGGUACUCGGAGGCUGUGGGCCUGCUGCCCACUUACAGCCCACAGGGGCUGAAACUAACCAGCACAGCUGAAUUGGGCAGAAGGAAAGCCAGAGGCAGCACCCAGUGUCCAGUCAUGUUAGCUCCCCACUCGGAGUGUGCUGAGUUCUGAGGGCCUGUCCCCAGCCCCCUCCUCCUGUCGAUUCUAUUCCCACCCAGACUUGAACUUCCUAAAAGGCAGUGAGUGGCCUAAAGGCCUGAUCAAUGAAAGCCACUAUAGUUGCUUCCUCCUGAGCCUUCAGAUAUGAUGGCAUCCCAAGAAUGCCUGUGGGUCUCCUCGGAGAAUAAUAACAAGACCUCCCAGUUUCCUUUGGAAGGCGGUGGAGGCUUACAUUGGAUCACUGGAUAGCUCCCAUUCUCUCCCUGCUGUUCAGCCUCAGUUCUCCUCCUCCUGCACCCCACCCCCAUUCCUGUUGUCCUUCCAUUGAGGCUGGCUGUCAGGGUUCUUCAAAAGUCCAUGGGACAAGCAUUAAUCUGCCUGUUCUGCUCCCCACUAUGUCUCCAAUGAAUCCUCUCACCAGCCCUGCACCUCUGGCCUG